rnacentral:lncRNA from 1 species
CUGUUCCUUAGUGUUUAUUAUAGAAAUGUUCAAGCUGGAGACUUGGCACACUCCAUGUUAACGAUAUAACAGCUUCCACUAUUGUUUUACAACAAUAAAUACUUCUGAUAGUAAAAACACAUAUUUUACCAAGAGAUUCCAUGCAGUAUGACCCCAUGCACUGCAAUAUUUCUUGAGAGAAGCGUCACACACAACAUCCUGGCAGUUGCUGCAGCAAUCGUUCAUCUUUGUGAAAAACAUCCAGGUCAGAUACCACAGUGACACAGUACUGGCAACCUGGAGAACCCAAUCAUUUGAAGCACCUACAUUGUCUCAUCAGAUUUCUGCAUCAGGUGUGGGAGAUUGAACACAAUGUUUUCAUGGAAACUCUUGGUUCUGGGUAACAUCUUCAGUAAGCACAACCUUUAGGUUUUUUAUUGGCAUAUCAUGGUAGAAUGACCUAAACUCAGGAAUGAGUGAAAGGCUAUAAUGUGCUGCUAUAUGUUAUUCCCAGACUGAAGAGAGAGUCUGGUGCAUGUCUUCAGUGAUCUGUUACUGUGGCUAAUAGGGACAUCAAAAACAGUGGGAAGUCUCACUGACCUUAUGUUCUCAUAGUUCUAGGAGGAAAGAGAGCUCAGGACCUCUCAAAAAUGCCCAAUUAGGCAGUAAAAAACUUUGGGAAGUGACUGUUAGAAGACAAAAUCACUGUGUUAUGUUUCCACACCUCCACACCCACCACUGAGUUUUCUAUGCUUUAUAUUUAAAUUCUGCAAAGUUGCAAAAAUUUAUUUUUUCCCCAUUGGAUCUUCCCAUUUGUUCAGUCUCUUCACCUGCUUUGGUGGCCUUCAUGAAACUCCAAAGCUCCUUUUAAAGUAAAUGGAAUAAUCAUUAACCAAAAACUGCUAUAAAAAUCUGCUUGGUACUUAUAGCUAAAAUAAGAUAUAUAUAAUGAAGUGUAUGAAAGAAAAUAAUCUAUGCCAACAAAACUGUCUGAUGGUGGACUCUGUGUUUCUUUUCAGACUUCCAUAAUGGUAUUCAGGAUCCUAGGUGCUGGAAAUCAAAUUUCAGAACAUUAACUUGCUUAGUAGUUGUUUUGUGAUAGUGGACCAAUAUUUAUUUAUUGACUGGGGCUGGAAUUAGAGGUAAGAUUUCCAUUUCUUAACCUGAUGUGGAACAUCUUGAAAAGACAGAAGAAAAAUAUCCCUCCUGUCAUAACAGGAAAAUAGAGUUGAAGUUGUAC